AAUCAACUAAAAUUAUAUGCAACUGAUUCGAUCGUUCAAAAAUGGAUGGAGAAAAUAAAAAAAUAUGAGGGAUACAAUGACGAGUGUUCCAUAGCUUUUUCACCACAAUCGUACUUCAGUUCAUAUCCGCAGGGAAAUCCAGCACAAGAGAGCCACCUCGAAAACAUUCAGGAAGGACGUUCGGAAAACGAUGGGCCAUUUGGACCACAAUAUAAUUAAUUUUUCUGUAUUAUUAUUUUUCUUAUUGUGUAAAAUAAAAACAAGCGU